CUUGCGGCGCUGUGGGAAGAACUGAGGGUCCAAGCCGGGCGUUCCCACCCAGGUGAAGCGCACCCCUUCCUCUAAGAAGGCUAGCACACAGGCGUUGGUUGUGAGUUGGUGAUCGUGCCCUGUUGUGGAGUUCAAGUAGCGGCGCCAUAGCGAGCUGCAUGCUCGCGGGGGACCUGGCUGGAAACCGGCUGGGUUCGAGCUGCGCUUCGUACCUCAAUUCGAACUUCGCUUCUGGCAUCGGCGGCGGGUCUGUGGGCCCAGCCUGUGUUGCCGUAAUAAUGCCGAGCCAUGCCCGGUUCGGCUGCGCUGCUGUGCGUGGUAGAUCCGUCUCGGGCGGUGCAGGCAACGCG
rnacentral:lncRNA from 1 species